rnacentral:misc_RNA from 1 species
AACUAACGCUAUAAAAGAUACAGUUUCUGUACUAUAUUGGUAUGAGAACUUUCCAGUUCUAAACUGGCAAUUUUUGGAAGAGUUCUUCGGAAC